GAUGAACGCUGGCGGCGUGCCUAAUACAUGCAAGUCGAGCGAACAGACGAGGAGCUUGCUCCUCUGACGUUAUCGGCGGACGGGUGAGUAACACGUGGAUAACCUACCUCUAAGACUGGGAUAACUUCGGGAAACCGGAGCUAAUACCGGAUAAUAUAUUGAACCGCAUGGUUCAAUAGUGAAAGACGGUUUUGCUGUCACUUAUAGAUGGAUCCGCGCCGCAUUAGCUAGUUGGUAAGGUAACGGCUUACCAAGGCAACGAUGCGUAGCCGACCUGAGAGGGUGAUCGGCCACACUGGAACUGAGACACGGUCCAGACUCCUACGGGAGGCAGCAGUAGGGAAUCUUCCGCAAUGGGCGAAAGCCUGACGGAGCAACGCCGCGUGAGUGAUGAAGGUCUUCGGAUCGUAAAACUCUGUUAUUAGGGAAGAACAAAUGUGUAAGUAACUAUGCACGUCUUGACGGUACCUAAUCAGAAAGCCACGGCUAACUACGUG
rnacentral:rRNA from 1 species